rnacentral:rRNA from 1 species
GUGGGGAAUAUUGGGCAAUGGGGGAAACCCUGACCCAGCGACGCCGCGUGAGGGAAGACGGCCUUCGGGUUGUAAACCUCUUUUGUACGGGAAGAAGGAAGUGACGGUACUGUACGAAUAAGUCCCGGCUAACUACGUGCCAGCAGCCGCGGUAAUACGUAGGGGACGAGCGUUGUCCGGAAUUACUGGGCGUAAAGGGCGCGCAGGCUGUGCUGCAAGUCAGCUGUGAAAUGUCUGGGCUUAACCCGGGCAUGCGGUUGAGACUGCAGUGCUGGAGUGCUGUAGAGGCAAGUGGAAUUCCCAGUGUAGCGGUGAAAUGCGUAGAUAUUGGGAAGAACACCGGUGGCGAAGGCGACUUGCUGGGCAGCAACUGACGCUGAGGCGCGAAAGCCAGGGGAGCAAACGGGAUUAGAAACCCUUGUAGUCC